UCUUGAUUUUAAGAGGUAUGUACUAGAGAAACUCAAAGAGGGUCUACAUUGAAGGAUUUAUAAAAACUGGUUGCAGGUGGAGUUUAGAGAGAAGUACAAGAAUGAACAUCCCAACAACAAAUCGGAGAGAGCGCCCUACCAGGCCAAGGCAGAGAAGAGAAAGGUUGAAUAGAACAACAUGGAAGUUUAUAACAAGAAACAAGUAAUUGUGUGAUAGAGUAAAAGAUUGGUCCUUUAAUGUAUCUGAUAGCUGCAAAGGUAAAUGAUCUACAUCCUUAUUUCCUCCAUAUGUAUAUAUAUCUCAAGUAUCUUGAUCAAUUACAUUGUAUUGUCUCUCUCUGUAUAAAGUAUCUCUGCCAAUGUUUAGGGUAUUUUAAAAUUAAGAGUUAGGUGAGAGCCAAUGAACCCAGCUUCUCCAGUAACCAAAAUUUUCAUGUUUGCCUUAAAGAAUUUGCAUCCUCUAUUAAUUGUCAUUUGAAGAACUCCUCAACUUCAA